rnacentral:rRNA from 1 species
UACGUAGGGGGCAAGCGUUGUCCGGAUUUAUUGGGCGUAAAGAGCGUGUAGGCGGCUAGGUAGGUCCGUUGUGAAAACUCGAGGCUCAACCUCGAGACGCCGAUGGAAACCAUCUAGCUAGAGUCCGGAAGAGGAGAGUGGAAUUCCUGGUGUAGCGGUGAAAUGCGCAGAUAUCGGGAGGAACACCGGUGGCGAAGGCGGUUCUCUGGGCCUGUACUGACGCUGAGGAGCGAAAGCGUGGGGAGCGAACAGG